AUGAGGAAGCCGGAACUUUUGCUCGCCGGGCUGGCGCGAAGCCGAGCAGGAUUCCGGAGUGGACCGCCCCGCUCCGCUCUCCCCGCAGGCGGAGAAGGCGGUGCCCACGAGGCGUCUUCGACUUCCCCGCCCUCCACUCCCGGCGUGGGCCUUUGGCCUCGUAAAGUUCAUUUGGAAAUACUGCACCCGGAAGCCGCCCCUUCCCCUCGAACACCAGCGCCAGAGCUGCGCCCUCCGCUUGAGGUUGCCCCAAGAUCGGCGGCCCCCACGCCUGUGACGCGGGAACCCUCUUCCUUGACCGCAGGACCCGCGCUGCCUCUCAGCUUGGAGAAGCCUGCUUCCGCACGCUCGCAGAGCCGGGAAGCCAAGGAUCAGGUUGUGAACCGCGGGGGGCGGGGCGGAGGCGGGAGGCGGCGGGUGCGCUCAGGGGACGGCGUCCUGCCCGGAACACGUGCACAGAUAGGAGCGUCGAUUCUUCCGUGGACUCUGAUGAUGCAAGGAAACCCCUAUUCUCCAAUUACAGGUGUCCCAGGGCUCCCAUCACUCACUCACCCACCUGCACCUACACCCACACUGAACCAGAGCACUAAAAUACAAGGAAACUUUUAUUUUCAGUUUUCAUCAAGAAAUCUGCUGUUUUUUGCUUUUUUUUUUUUUAUGCUUUUGGUUCUUUUCCUUUUUUUUUUUUUUUCCACUUUAUUUCAUUCUAGCCACUCAGGGGCUGGAGCCGCUGGGUUCCUGGUAUUAAAAAGAUGCCAACAGAGGUAGCUGUGUCUCGCCCAGGGGCCCGGCCCACUGUGAAUACCCCCCAAAAAGGAGAAAAGAAAACACAAAAUCAACCAACAAAAUAAAACGGAAGGAGGAAGAAACUCAGAUCAUUUUCUUCAAGCCUGGCGGGAACCCACAACAGUUCGUGUUGUAACAGACAGUGUUACAGUGGGGAGAAGCCAGGGCCCAGAAGGCCAGCCCGCCAGCUCCCUGCAGAUGGCGCCGGCGCUACUGCUGCAGUCUCUCCAGCAGGAAGGGCACCACUGCCCCUCACUCCCUCCCCUCCCCUAGUGCUGGGG
rnacentral:lncRNA from 1 species